rnacentral:other from 1 species
GGCACAUUGAUUAUGUCCCUGAGCCGAUACAUACAGAUUUAGGGAAGAUUCAUCCGGUAGGUGUGCAUGCCUGCCCCGUAGUAGGAAGCCUAGCACCGGAACAAUUUAUCCCGCUUUGAACUUUAGGGUUCAAGGUUUCAGAUCAAACCGGCAUCUU